AUGGGAAGAGACGGCCGGCACGCACCGCGGCCCCGGCCUGAAUGCCUCCGGCCCCUCCUCCCCGCUGCGCACCACUCACUCAAGCUGCCGGGGCCUGGAGCGGACACCUGGGUGCCCCGGCCUGGGCUCCAUGCCCAGCCCCUGGCUGCAGCUGGAGCAGACGGAGCGAAAACCGGCACUCCUUCCUCCAUGGAGGCGGUGGGGGCACCCGCACCCCCCCACCCACGACUACACACGAGCUGGAGCAGACGGAGGGAAACCGGUACUUCUGCCUCCAUGGAGGCGGUGGGGGCACCCGCACCCCCCAACCACAACUACACACGAGGGCAGGAGGGCGAGUCUCUCUGGGGAAAUGAGGGGCUAUUAGAGGGCAGGCUGGCUGCUGAAGAGCCCCAAACCCACAAAUGCUUGCUGCAGGUGCUACUACUUAAACCCAGGAGAGAAGGCGGAAGCUUCUCCAGGGAAGCCAAGGACCAGCCUGAGCGCCCCUUCUCUCUGCUCCCCAGAUGCUCCAAGCUUCUCUCCAGCUUAACUCCGCUCCACUGCGACACACCUACUCCACCUCCCUGAUGCCCAGCAUCCAGGGAGCAGGGCCCAGAAGUCACCCCUGCCUCAUGGGGAGAACCAGGGAGGGAGGAAAAAGCUGGAGGGGACCGAGGGGGGGCACCCAGAUGGGAUCUGAGCUUGGUGAACAUCAACCAUUUUUCCAGCAUUUUUUGUUUGAUUAAAUCCCAAAGGACAUUUUUUUUCCUCCAACUCCUUUUUCCUUUAACUUUUAAGCCAUAUGGUUCUGAUUCAUUUAUACUUAACUAAUUACAACAUUGGUUUUGUAAGAGCUAUUUGAUGUCCGUGAGUCUUCUGAGCCCUUUCAUACAAUUUUCUAACCCUUUUUACUGUGAAACCCAAAGUGGUCUUUCGCCAGCAGUAAACAGCAGCCAGUGCCAGAAGGUUACGGCUUGGUCUCAGUUUGGUCACAGGGACCAGGCCUUGUGGUUACAAGACCUCGGAAUUUGGCAAAAUGUGUUUUUCGACUCCCAGUGAAAUUCUAAAAAGGUUUCUCAGAAAUAAUGAGAACAGAACACAUAAAUAAGAAAAGCAGCUCUUAAAAAGCAAGGCCUUUCCCUUCAGAGAAGUCCUCCUGUGGUCACGGCUUCCUUCAGCCUUGCCCUAGGAACAGCGGCCAGGAGCUGGAUUGCUCAAGAAAGGCAUUUGCAUUUGUGAUCCUGCCCUGCCUCUUAGGAUCUUAGAGAGUGGCAUUUGUGUAAACAGGUAGGGUUUUUAUGGGGAUGCCAGUGUUCUAGCCAACUUGGCAGCCAAGCCACUCUAUUUUUG
rnacentral:lncRNA from 1 species